AUGAAUUCCAGGUGCUCCCACUAGAAGAUGGUCCUUUGAGUUCUGUAUGGAGAAACGAAGGAAUUUAUGUCAGUACCAUAGAUACUAAUGGAAGUCUGAAAGUAGACUGGCUAAAGUGAAAAAGGUUGAAGAAACAAGUGAACAUCUUUUAUCAGCCCUCAAGGCAGAGAAGUAAGAACUAUAGUCAUCCCUCAACAAAGAAAAAUUGCAAAUGCUUCAGUUGAAGCAAGAGUUAGCAGAUGCGUAGACUCGCAACACCGACCUAUACAA